rnacentral:lncRNA from 1 species
CUACUCAAAAUACUAGUAAGGAAACGUUGACAACUCAAGCCCCAACUUGACACCCAGAUUAUCUUACUAAAUUCACUAGGUGACAAAUAAAUGGCAAACACUUAUUUUACUACACAAAAUGGACUAAUUAACUUUUGAAUUAACUUUAUACAUUAUUAAGUCAGCGUUCGUCCACAGGCCCAAUUCGAUACCCUUUCUAUAUCAGUUACAGAAAUUGAAAUAACUCAGAUCUCAUGCUUCAAUCCUUCCAUAUUUCAGCGCACAACUAUCAGAGGCAAACCUGGAAUUGGCAUAAAAUUGAAGUAGAAGAGGUCAACUACAGCAGUAACUCGAACAGCAACAGAAGUAAUCGAUUCCCAGUAAUAUAAACAAUGGGUACACCCAAAUAAUCAACCUAGAAAUCCAGAAGUUCUUAAAACCAAACAGAAUGACCAAAACUGACUUAAAACCAGUUCGGAUAAAAACCAAAGUCACUGAAAACCAACUAGUACACCUCUAAAACUCUCACAAUCAGAAAUUAAGCUAGAACAUGCAACUUAUCAAUUGAAAUUCUAACUUGACUUCAGGAGAAUUAAUGCAACAAUAAAUUUUCUGUUUUUGUAUUUUUUUUUUGUAUUUUUGUAUUUUUGAGCGAGCUAAGAUCUAAGAAAGUUUUUCAGCUCAAAUUGACAUUCAGAUCUGGAGGACUUAAGAUUGCUUUUGGGGGAAUUUUUUUGGUUUUCCAACUUUUAAGACUGAAGACUGAAAGCCUUAGCUCUCCAAAUCUUCUCUCAUAUUAUCUCCUAAUCUCUUAAACUCUAAU